UUUGCCUGGUCAUACCAAAGUUUUAUGAAAUUUGGUCCAGUCUUUAUGUUUUCGCUAUCUAACUUAUAAGAAUAAUAUAUAUGUUUAGUAACAGUCAGUCAACAAAUUACGGCAUUACUUUAUUAUAAUAAAUAGUUAUUUUAUUUUAUAUAAUUAAUAUAAAUAAAAAUAAUUAAAUUUUUUUUUAGCUAAAAGGCUAAGGUUACUCUUAUUACAUCAUCUGUCUGUUCGUGAGUUCAGUCAUAAUCAGACUAGCUGCUUUAAUAAAAAAAAAAAAUGUCUUUAUACCAUGGAAACAUCCAAAUACAUGUUUGAUCAUAUCAACAGUUACUCACCUCUCAGGCCCAGUUCCUCGCUAGCUCGCUGAGUUGAACUUAUAACACCCGCAGUCACUGUGUUACUCAGAGCCAGAGGACUACCCAUCGCUACCACCUAUAACAUUAAAAAGGCAUCUCUAAUAAAGUUAGCAGAAUGAAACGAAAUCAAGACUUCUGAUACACUUAUAGACAAAAUACACAUAGAGAAGAGAGAGACAACAGAUGGCAAAAAAAAAACAUUCAAUACAUCAUAGCAUCAACACAGUUAAAGGUAACCAAAAUAAUCAAGAAACAUGCUUCACUUCAUACUAAAAGGAUUACAAGAUUUGAAUACCUAUUCCGAUAGGGCCAAGUGUCUCAAAAGCACUGGCCAACAAGCUUGUCUGAAAAAGACAAAGAACCCAUAGAAAAUACAGAUAUCUCCAGAAUAUUAAUAUGUAGUAAGACUAAUGGAAAAAUUGAUAAAUCAUCAAAUAUUAAGCUUUUGCAAGACUAUAAUAUACCUUUAUUAAAAAAUAUAUAUUUCACAGACUAAAAACCACUGUAUGAUACAGAUCAUCAUUUAAAUGAAACCUUUUUUACUAUUAUAUAGUUGCCAGUGCAAUAUAUUCCUCUAGAUACAACAAUAUUGAGUUAAAAUUGUAAUUAAAAUUUAGUUUGGAGACAGAAUGAUAAAUUCACCAACACAAGCAGAACACCACAAGUAUUUCCUAUUGAAUACAUACUUAUAGAGCUGAAUAUAGAAAUUGUUUUAUGGAGAGGUGGAGGAACAUCAGGAGAGAUGUUCGAAGUGUAUUACAGAGGAUGAGAUUUGAGUCGCAAAGAAAAGGAGUGACAGGAUGUAUGGACCUUUGAAAGUAUAUAGCGUUGACCCCAAGGACCUCGGGACGAAGGCACUAGAAAAAAGUCUAUUAUAUUGGUGUUGUGUAUUAGUUAUACUUGCUCAGUAUUGUUAAAUAAUAUUAUGUUGUCAAGUAUGUAGAUAGAUCACUUUAAUAUGUCUGUCUUGUUAACACAAUGCGGAUAUUAUUAAUCAAAUAUAGUUUUAUUGAAUGCA